UGUCUCUGGUUGCCUGGUUACAGAUGCUGCUGCACCCGCACGUUUAAAAAUGUCUACACCUGAAACUCCACCACGUCUAAAGAAGCAAAAACGUUUGCAAAUGUACAGACUGGAGUGGGAAGAGUGGAACCCCUGGCAAUGGAUACAAGGCAAACUGUGUUUUCUGUUGCUCAUGGACUGGCUGAAGUAAGGCAGCAUCAGGAGACAAACAUGGAGGAAAUAUGAGAACAGAGAGAACCCAACCAGCAGGUCACAGUUUAUCAUCAUCUAAUCAUCUCCUGAAGUCCAUAUGACAUCCACCAACCACUGGAACACAUCUCCAAAGUUCUGCCGGGCCAGCUCAGCUUCCCCUCAGAAGAAGUUCCACCAGAUGAAGGAGCCUUUUGAGAGGCAGCUGGCAUCGUGAUUGGACUGUACUUUGGUCUGUUCCAAUCCAGCUUCAGCUCCAGAGACGGCAGGCGGGACGAGUCAACGGAGGCCGGGUGGACGAAGGCAUGAAGCUGAGUACAAUCCAGAAAACAACAGAGGAGGAGUGCAGCUGCCCAGGGCCAGAACAAACAGAGUAGCAUCGUAUGUCUCUUAGAAAACAUCAUAGUAGAGCCUUUGGUAUGAAAAAACACCAUCAUAUACAUCGUAUAUUGUACAAAUAACAAGUCAAAGGAAAGAGACAUACAUUGUAGAAUUGUAGUAAUUGUGGGCUGACUGAUUUACUGAUUAUCAGUAUUUUAUUUUUUACUGAUUUACGGUAAUAAAUACAUUUAAAAAUGGCGCUACUUUGGCUCUGAACC
ensembl:lncRNA